rnacentral:rRNA from 1 species
AGUUCGAUCAUGGCUCAGAUUGAACGCUGGCGGGAUGUUUACACAUGCAAGUCGAACGCAGCACGGACUUCGGUCUGGUGGCGAGUGGCGAACGGGUGAGUAAUGUAUCGGAACGUGCCUAUAGCGGGGGAUAACUACGCGAAAGCGUAGCUAAUACCGCAUGACUUUCGGGGAAAGCGGGGUUUUCGGCCUCGCAAUUAUUAGAGCGGCUGAUAUCGAUUAGCUAGUUAGGGCAACGGCUCACCACAUGACGAUCCAGAAGGUUUGAGGACGACCAGCCACACUGGGACUGGAGACACGCCCAGACUCCUACGGGAGGCAGCAGUGGGGAAUUUUGGACAAUGGGGAAACUGAUCCAGCCAUCUCAGCUGUAAAGGAGAAGGCCUUCGGGUUGUAAAGCACUUUUGGCAGGAAAAGAAACGGCACGGGAUAUCACCCCGUGCAACUGACGGUACCUUUAAUAAGCACCGGCCAACACGCCGCCAGCAGCCGUAAUAGGUGCAGCGCACCGGAAUUACACGGCGUAAAGUGCGCAGGUUCCGGAAAGAUGUGAAAUCCCAGAGCUUAACUGGAACGCAUUUGACCACCGAGCUGAGCGUAUCGGCGGGUGGAAUUCCGCGUGUAGCAGUGAAAUGCGUAGAUAUGCGGAGUGAUCACCGAUGGCGAAGGCAGCCUCCUGGGGGACAACACUGACGCCUUUGCACGAAAGCGUGGGGAGCAAACAGAUUAGAUACCUUGGAGAGUCCAAUGCUAGCUCUUAAACGAUACCACCGAAGGUUGGGGCCUUCGGGCCUGGUAGCGCAGCUAACGCGUGAAGUUGACCGCCUGGGGAGUACGGUCGCAAGAUUAACUCAAAGGAAUGAUUUGGGACCCGUGCACAAGCGUGGAUGCGAUGCGGUGAUUAAUUCGAUGCAACGCGGCGAAAACCUUACCUACCCUUGACAUGUCUGGAAUCCCGAAGAGAUUUGGGAGGCUCGCAAGAGAACCGAACACAGGUGCUGCAUGGCUGUCGCCAGCCUGUGUCGUGAGAUGCUGGGUUAAGUCCCGCAACGAGCGCAACCCUUUGUCAUUAGUUGCUACGAAAGGGCACUCUAAUGAGACUGCCAGUGACAAACUGAGAAGGUGGGGAUGACGUCAAGUCCUCGCCCUUAUGGGUAGGCUUCAUCGUCAUACAAUGGUCGGGACAGAGUGGUCGCCAACCCGCGAGGGGGAGCCAAUCCCAGAAACCCGAUCGUAAGUCCGGAUCGCAGUCUGCAACUCGACUGCGCAGUUUUAACUGCUGCAAUCGCGGAUCAGGCAUGUCGCGGUGAAUACGUUCCUGGCCCUGUACACACCGCCCGUCACACCAUGGGAGUGGGUUUUACCAGAAGUAGUUAGCCUAACCGUAAGGAGGGCGAUUACCACGGUAGGAUUCAUGACUGGGUGAAGUCGUAACAAGGCA